rnacentral:rRNA from 1 species
CCUACGGGUGGCAGCAGUGAGGAAUAUUGGUCAAUGGACGAGAGUCUGAACCAGCCAAGUAGCGUGAAGGAUGACUGCCCUAUGGGUUGUAAACUUCUUUUAUAAAGGAAUAAAACGAGGCACGUGUGCCUUUUUGCAUGUACUUUAUGAAUAAGGAUCGGCUAACUCCGUGCCAGCAGCCGCGGUAAUACGGAGGAUCCGAGCGUUAUCCGGAUUUAUUGGGUUUAAAGGGAGCGUAGAUGGGUUGUUAAGUCGGUUGUGAAAGUUUGCGGCUCAACCGUAAAAUUGCAAUUGAUACUGGCAGUCUUGAGUACAGUUGAGGUAAGCGGAAUUCGUGGUGUAGCGGUGAAAUGCUUAGAUAUCACGAAGAACACCGAUUGCGAAGGCAGCUUACUAAACUGUGACUGACAUUGAUGCUCGAAAGUGUGGGUAUCGAACAGGAUUAGAUACCCUGGUAGUC